rnacentral:rRNA from 1 species
UACGUAGGGAGCGAGCGUUGUCCGGAUUCAUUGGGCGUAAAGAGCUCGUAGGCGGCUUGGUAAGUCGGAAGUGAAACCUCCAGGCUCAACCUGGAGUCGCCAUCCGAUACUGCCAUGGCUAGAGUCCGGUAGGGGCCCACGGAAUUCCUGGUGUAGCGGUGAAAUGCGCAGAUAUCAGGAGGAACACCGAUGGCGAAGGCAGUGGGCUGGGCCGGCACUGACGCUGAGGAGCGAAAGCGUGGGGAGCGAACAGG